AAGGUCUAACCUGCCCAAUGAAGAUUUAAAUGGCCGCAGUAUUUUGACUGUGCAAAGGUAGCAUAAUCAUUAGUUUUUUAAUUAAAAGCUUGUAUGAAGGGUUGGACGAAAUAAGAUCUGUCUUUAUUUAAUUUUUAGCUAGAAUUUAACUUUUAAGUCAAAAGGCUUAAAUAUGUAUAAAAGACGAGAAGACCCUAUAGAUCUUUAUUUAAUUGAUAUUUUAAUAAUUUAAGAUUUAGUUAAUUUAAAGUUUUAAUUAAAUUUUAUUGGGGUAAUAUAAAGAUUAAUAUAAUUCUUUUUAUUUAAAUCAUUAAUUUAUGAAUAAAUGAUCCAUUACUAUUGAUUGUAAGAUUAAGUUACCUUAGGGAUAACAGCGUAAUUUUUUUAGAGAGUUCUUAUCGAUAAAAAAGUUUGCGACCUCGAUGUUGCACUAAAAAUUAUCUUGGGUGUAGAAGUUCAAGAUUUUGGUCUGUUCGACCAUUAAAUUUUUACAUGAUCUGAGUUCAAACCGGCGUGAGCCAGGUCGGUUUCUAUCUUUAUUUAAUUUAUAUAUUUUAGUACGAAAGGACCAUAUAUAUAAUAUAUUUAUAUUUUAUAGUUGUUGAAUAUUAAUAUUACUUUGGCAGAAUAAGUGUAAUGAAUUUAGAAUUCAUGGAUGUAAUUAUAUUACAAGUAAUACUUGUAUUUAGGAGAUCUAUUAUUGAUUUUAGUAUGUAUAUUAAUUUUGAUUAUCUGUGUAUUAGUUGGGGUUGCAUUUUUAACUUUAUUAGAACGUAAGGUUCUAGGAUAUAUUCAAAUUCGUAAGGGACCAAACAAGGUAGGAUUUUAUGG
rnacentral:rRNA from 1 species